rnacentral:lncRNA from 1 species
UAUGGAAUGUUUUUUUUUUUGUUGUUUUUUUUUUAGCUACCCCAGACAACUUGGCCUGGUGAACUAAUAGCAGGUGGAAAAAUUAUUUCUCUUUUCUCAUUUCUUAAUAUGAGAAACUUGCUUAAGAGGAACAAAAAACAGCAUUAUAUUUUACUUUAAAAGGUUAUAUUUAAAAGAUCUCCAACAAGAACAGCGGAGACAAAACAAGGGCAAGGGUUGGGGUUCCUAGACUGUGUGUUAAAAUAUAGCAAGCAGUAGCCAAAAAUAUUGAGCUAGUAUGAUUUCUGUCUCUGUCCAGCAAUGACAAUCUGUCCACCUCCACAGUGAAAUUCUGUAUAUUUUUAACAACUUUGCAGCUGCUGCAAUCUCUUGGUUGUUGUUUAAAUUUGCUGAUAAAGCUAUUUGAGGAGGAGGGACAGUGGUAGACUCCUGAGGAGUCUGAAGAGAAAGGCACAGGCCUCUCCCUCCUUUCACCCAUGCACUCAAUGACUUGGAUUUCUUUGUAACUUAAGCCGGUGGGACACAACCAUGUGUCUUGGUCUUGGGGCUCACACUGGUUGCUUUUUUUUUUUUUUUUUUUUUUUUUUUAAACCCUCUCUGCCCAAGAAAAUUCUGAAUUGGUUUACUAAACUGUCCUGACUCUUGUGCUGAAGUCUGAGUUUGUAAGCCCACAUCUUUGAAAAGGGGUGUCUUUAAAGAACCUUCUCCACAGUUUCCACAUCAGCUAUUCAAAGAGGAAGGAGUAUCAACAGAGUGCCAUGUCAGUCAUAUCAAAACAAAGAGAAGCAAAAGAGGGCCCCACGCCAACCAGUUGCUUUUGCAGUUGGUUCAACAACUGGAUGUUAAAUAGAAAGUGAAGUUAAAAAUGGUAGUGCCUCAGCUUUCUGUCCACACUGGUCUUUACCUUUUCCUUUUGUUUAAAAUAUCUUUGAUUUCUCAGCAAACAGUAAAAAAAGUAUACAUGGUGUUUUCAUGUUAAAUUUUUGUAAUAAUCUAGACUUAGUUUAAAUUAGUAAUGAUAUAUUUGAUAUAUAUGCUCAAUCAGUAUAUUUACAGAUAUUUACUUUCCGUGUAGAGUCAGACAAGAAAUUAUACUUCUCUCGGUGUACAUAGAAAUAUGUGUGGACAGUUUUGCAUGCAUCAUUUCAUUUCUUUUUUUUUUUUUUUUAAAUAAGUGAAUCUAAAUAUAUGUGUACUUACUUUGAAACUUUUCAUGAGUUUCCAAUGUUCUGAAAGUGUUGAAACCCAGUUGAAUACAGGGAAGUAAGUUUUCCUUUAGCAAACACGAGGAAGGUGUUUGUUUGUUUAUUUUUGUUUGUUAUUUUCUCAUGGAAGUAAUUAAAUCUUUGAUUGGUUUCAAGAGUGGGUGCUUAUGGCUCUGAUUCAGGAAUGUACAUAGUUCAAAGUAUCCCUUUUAAUCAAAACAUGCCCUGAAAUAAUACUGGUGCCAUGGUGGCAUAUAAGGGUGCUUUAUGUGGGCUAUGGUCUGAUGCACUGUUUCUAGCUAAGAAAGAAAAGUAAUAAUACUUACUGGAUUGUAAUAACUUGUGAUGUGUGAUUCUGCUGAGGUCUGAUGAUUCUGUACUCAGUACUGAUAUUAUGGUCCCUAUAACUUUAGAAUCUAGAUGUUUUUUGAACGUACUGAAACAUACGCAAAGCUGCCAUAUUUCUGUAUGACUUUUGAAAUAAUAUGUCUCACUUCACUGUUCCAUUCUCUAAGUUUUGUUAGCAGCCUUUCAGGUUUAAUUUAUGUGUGGGGUACCAUAAGGAUUGUUUGGCUUGAGUAAUAGUUUAGUGAAAAGGAAUAUCUACAGCAAGACUUGCGACAAGGCAAGGAUGCUAUGAGACAAAGCAGGAAAAAAAUCGCAACAUUUUACAAAUGAUCUGGUUCCAAGAGGAUGUAAUAUCUUCAUGCAGACUCUUAGAAACAAAUUUGCUUUUAGUUCCUAGCUUUAGUUGUUCGCUAAUACUGAAAACUCAGUCCCUUCUUACAUAAUUCAGUUAUUCCAUAUCAGGUUUUUCCAUGCAGGAAGAAAUCCAGGGUUAAGAACAAAUAAAGGAACAAACCAAACAAGCAAAGAAAAAUAAACGAAAAACCUAGAAAAAAAUAAUCUAACCCUAGAAAAAGCUUCAUCCAAACUGGCUGUGAAACUCCAAAGAACCUGAAGAUCAUUUAUGCAUAUUACUUUAAGAGGAACAGCCAGAAUCAGUGACAAAGUGACUUUUAGAUGCAUGCUAGGGUAAAGACUGGAAAAGAUCCCAGUCUUGAAUAAAUGUGUGUGAGGAUGGAUGGGCCCCUAAACCUGCAGUCCACAGCUUAGUGUGUACUGUGCCAAUAAAGAAUUUGUAUGCCAGCAACCAAUACUGGCUGCUUAUUCUGGGGAAAAGGAGGCUGAGGGGGAGACCUUAUUGCUCUCUUCCAGUAUCUGAAAAGUGCUUACUGCAAGAGUGGGGUUGGUCUCUUCUCACUGGUGACAGGAUGAGGGGAAAAGGCCUCAAGUUGCUCCAGGGUAAGUUUAGGUUGGAUAUUAGGAAACACUUUACAGAAAGGGUUGUUAAGCACUGGAAUAGGCUCCCCAGGGAGGUGGUUGAGUCACCAUCCCUGAAUAUUUAAAAACCAUUUGGAUGUGGUGCUCAGGGACAUGAUUUAGCGGAGGACUGUUAGUUAGGGUAGUAUGGAUAGGUCAUGGUUGGACUCGAUCUUUAAGGUCUUUUCCAACCUGAGUGAUUCUAUGACUCUAUGAUUUAAAAAUUCACUUAUUGAUGAUAAAAACUUUACAUAUUUGGAUUAAAAAUAAUUUUAUCUUAUGACAGAUUUGUGGAAUACAUUCUUGCAUAUUACUGGAAAAAGUUUUUCUGUAUAUCACUAGCAGUUUCUUCUCUGAAGGCUGAAUGUCAAAUUCAUUGGCAUGGGCUUAUCCACUAGAAAUGUCUGAGUAGUAGGAAAACUACUCUCCCUAACAGAAUUAGUGGAUACACAGUGGUUUGCAACACAAGCUCAGAAUAUAUGAUGCUGCUACUUGACCUAAUCAUGUGGGACAUGGCAAGUUCCAGGGUAUUGAUCAUUUCAGAUUAAAUUUAGCUCUUAAGUUUGAAUUGGUCCCUCCAGCUCUGCUGUCACAUGAAUAGCAGCAAAAAAGAAAGAUCUCUUCCCUUCUUAGAUAAGGAGCAUUCAGGCAGCACUGUACCCCAUCCCCCAAGCACAACUCUGUUACUUUAAGAGCAUUUACUGCAUGAUGACUGUGGGUAAAAUGAUAUUUGAAGUACUUGAGCAUGUGUGCUUGCCAUUUCCAUUUCAUUUUACAAAGCAAAUGUACACAGUUGGGAUCAAACAUCUUGGCUGAUUGGAUUAAAAGACAUAUGGAUGAGAGAAAUAGAUCGUGCACAUACUCAGAUCCAAAAAAUGUCUAGCUAUUGAAUUCCAUAUUUAUUCAAAUAUGCUUGAGAGCAGAAUUUGGCCUACAAUUGCAAGUUUUUAAUAUUGUGACUAUGUUUUAUAGAAAGUCAUACAUCUAGAGGAUAGAAUACAGUGGCAAACAGACUCCUUACAAAACUGAGAGGAAAAGCCUGUGAUUCUCCAAAUGGGAGAGCAGUGCAUAUCUCAUGUGAUAUCCAACCUGCCAUCUGGGGUGUAAAACCCCAGUAUACCAGCUCAUUCAGCUGAAGAGUAGAAGGGAUUUCUCCUGCCUUGUGCUGAGUGUUGUCUUCCCUAUCAUGAUGAGUCAAUGACACUGAGUUUUGAUAUUUAAUACGUACAGAGAAAUUGCCAGGUUUUGUUGCUUGUUAGUUACAAACUAUCAACAGGGCAGCAAUGUCUAUCAAAAAACACCCUAUGUGAAAUCAGCCAUGCAGUCUCGUUUAUAAAUGUCAUAGUGGCAUAGGUAUUUGCCCCUAAAAUUGGAAAGUAACUUAGAAACAGCACUUAGUCUAUUAGUAAAUAAAAAAAGAAAACAACAAAAUAGUUGUGAAGGUAGUAUGAAGUGGACAUAAUUCCAAGAGACACAUACCACAGGCUGCAAACACAGUAAAGACAGCACAUGGAAUAUAAGGUAUAACAAAUCCCUAGAUCUACUUCUAUUGCCAUUCUCUUUUCCCCAGCUGUAAGCCUGGCCCUUCUGCCCCAUCCCCCAGCCUUGCCCACUGCCCCCAAAGUGAUGUGUCUUCAUUCUGUGCAGUGCUUCCAGAAUCUGCCUAUUUGUAUCUCCUGUAGGAAGACAGAGAGAUCACUUCCCAGGCAUGCUGAAAAGCCAUUAUUCUACAUGCCCCGGAGAGAAGAAAAUUGAUUCAGGAGGUUUCAUAAUUCGGAUUGCUCCAGAAGCCAACAUCUAGGAGUUAAACAUGAACAGUUUUACCCUUUCUUCUCUCCUGUGAAAGAAAUGCAUUGCAAAAACAUGCAUUCUAAAUUGUGGAUUGUCAGAAUGGAAGUUGCUCACACAUUUUUAAUUCUGUAUCUUUGUACUUAUGCAUUAUGAAAGGAGAUUCAUCCUGGGCUGUUCCCACGGACUGUUCCUAUACAGGUUGUCAGACUGGAUGAUCAAGAUGGGCCCUUCGAGUCCUGAAGCCUAUGGAGCUCUGAUCUAAAAUGACAUGAUCACACACCACUUUCCCCUCAGCGAUGCUGACUUCAGUGCACCAGGAGUCACCAAACAAGGAUUUUGGAAGAUGCAUAUGAUUUACCAGUCUACUAUGCUAACAUCAUUUUGACAGGUGUGAUGCAUCAACACAGUAUUAUAAGCUUAAGAUAAAUUACAGCAUUCUUUUUCAUCAAGCAGCAAACUGCAGUGGAGUAUUGCACAAAGCUCAGUGUGUUCAGUCAGUAGGCAUUUGUGCCUGCAGCCUAAAAUAGAAUGUCUUUCUGUGAUGGGUUAAUCCCUCUUUGGCUCUGAUCCUGGGUAGAUUACUAGUUAUAGCAUGCCAUGAAAGACUGCUGUGUAAGGCAAGUAUUUCACUUAAGUCACUUACCACAUUCUCUGGACAACAGAAAUUUCUUGUGCAUCUGCUAGAAAUGUGGGGAUAAUUUAAUUGCCUUUGCUAAGAUUUCCAAUGUAAUUUAAUAAUCAUUUUUAUUAGAAUGUGCAUAUUGUUAGAAGUUAUCAGAACACUGUUACUCCUGGUGCAUUCUGAACAGCAGGUAGAAAAAUCAGACUUUGAUUUUGACUAGGGGUCCUAAUCAUUUCUUUUCAUAAUUUAGAGCACAAAAUGUGUUUGGUCAUUCUCUAUCACUUAUUAUUAUUAUUAUUAUUAUUAUUUUUAAUUCUGGUUGUCUAAACUGUAUGACAAGACCGCAUUCUACUUUACAUUUACCCAAAGGUCAAUAAAUAUCAGAACUUGGCAAAGAAACAAUGAAUAUUCUUCAAACAUUUCCCUGCAAGAAAAAUAGGCUCAUUUCAGCUGAGUGGAUGUCUCUAUUUGAAGGAUAUUUUUCACUGACAUUCAAUUAAUUGAAUUUUCCUGAAGUGGAUGUAUGUAGAAGCUAAGUGAUAAAUUUUAGGAAGUGUACACUUUUAUUUCCCUUAGUUUUAGUGCCAAGUAGGGCUGCAUUUAUAGUGCUUCAUUUUUAAGAUGGUCUAUACAGUGAUUUUUAUCAAAUGGUCCUAUUUGAAAUGUUCUAGCUUGGUAUCCAAAUCAUUAUCUUCAUUUGCAAGUCAGCAAAAUUCUGUGGAUUACAAACACUUAAGCUUUCAGAGCUUGACAUGUGGUCAGAGAAUGGAAAUGGCACUGUGCAAUGGCCAUAACUAGCCAAAUCUCCCAGAUAUUUUGUGGGAGCUUUAUGUAUGAAGAAAUGUUGAGAUGUUAGAAAAAUAGGACAUUAACCAAGAGUAAUGAAAAUGUCAGCAAAAAGUACUGAGUUAAAAUUAAUAAAGAUAGUUCUUGAAGAAAUUAAUUUGUAAACAUUUGUGAAGGGAAAGGAGAAAAGCUUGUGAGAGAAACUAAUACUUGAAAUAAAUAUGGGUAACUAUAAGGAGCAGGAAUUGUUUUUAUUUUUUUUUAUUCUAAUAUCAUUGCUAUAUUUUGUCUUUUUUUCCAUUCUAUUUCUAUUUAGAUUUUAGCUCAAAAUGGAGAUGGACUGAUCUAAAAUAUUCGUCAAAAAUGCUUAAACACGUUGAGAACCCAAAUAUACUUUUAAAUAUGGUCAAUGUGUGUCUUUUGUACAUAGAUCUGUGUUCAUAGUACUAGAAAACUGUUGAGGCCAAAUAGUAGAGAGCUUGGACCCUGACGGUAUGCAGUCUUGUUUACACAGAUUAGACUGAAUAGAAAGUCUAUGGCUGGCUGUGAAGACUGCAAGAUUUUCAGGCUGAACAGGCUCAUAUGGAAGCAGCUGAGGCUUUGUAUGAAAGUGGGAGAUACUCUGCAUGGGUGAUUAACUGUAGUGCAGUGAUCACUUUUCAGGCCAGCCUCGACUCCAUUUUAGACAUCAAAAAAAGGUUUAUAAAGCAAAGUAGUCUUCAAAAUUUUCUGUUAACAAUCAUUCUGAGGAAGAGAUUAAAAAAUGUCAAUGAAAUCAGAAAGUCAAGAGGUUUAUUUGGCAUAAUGGCUGAACAGGGAAGUUCUGUUUUUCAAGGAGGAUCAGGGAGUUCAAUGGUAGGUACAAGGCCACAGUACUAAAUGCUGACAUGGACUUUCCAAGGUUGCCCAGAGUAGUGCUAAAGUCAAUAAUUCCAUAUUGCACCUGUCAGAAGCUACAACAUAAUUGCUUUGAAGUGAGGCAUAUUAACAUCCAUGUGCUCAGCAAACUAAGCAAUUAUGAACAGGUCUCUGCUCUCCCUGUUGGCUGUUAUAAGUAUUUGUUCAAUUUGUUGCUUUGCCUCAAUUCUAGUUAAUGUGACUUAUGAGCACUUAGCACAUACUGGAAAGACAAGGGAGAGAUGUGGCUGCUGGUAGUCUGGCAGUAGUCCACAAACUGUGACCUUAUAGUGACAGGCAAAGAUGGGGCUGAUAGUCAGGAAGGAGUACAGGAUUGUAGGGCAGGAUGCUGCCAGUUGGCAUGGAAACACUAACAGUCAAAGCAUUAAGAUUUUAAAGAAACCAAACUUUUCUUUUCUUUUUUUUUUCCUAGAACAUGAUAGCAAAUGUUUUUGUAACAGUUGCAGAGACUGCUGAUUUUGCCUUUACAAGAUCAAACACACAGUACUACAGGAAUUUGAAAAAAAACAUAUAUCUCUCAAUAUAUUACAUGGGAAAUGAGGAAAAUUGUGUUCUUAUGAAAUUUGUUAUCACUGAGUUCGCCCAAUAUUAUGCAGGUGAUUACUUGAAUUUUCCAAGCAGCAGAUGUUCAGAAAUGGGGAGACAGAAGCUGGCCAAGAAAGCUGCCUCAGCAGCAGUGUGGGUUAUAAAUUCAGCAUGGACAAUCUGUUCUUCAAAGUAGAGCUAAAGUGAUUUAAAAGGUUCGUCAAGGUCACGUAGGAAUACUGUACAGGAGUGCUCCAAAGCACCAGCUGUCAGGACUGUCAAGUCUUGCUAAUGAACAGUGGAAUUUGUAGAAAAUAAUACUAAUGCUAAUUGAAACCUGAACAGCUUAGAAGUCUAGCAGGUUAUUGCUAUUGAUUCAUAUCCUAUGAUAAUGUCUCCUACAGAGCAUGCAGGAGUGCCUGUCUACCUGUAGUAUUAGCUAAUCCAUUGUUGAUGCCAUUCAUACAAGUAUCUGGAAGGUCUGAAGCCCUCUUCAGAGAGAGGGGUGUUCUAUUACUAUAGAAAUGAUGGAUCACUUUCUGAUUUUGUAAUAAAUUCUGAGCAGUAUCUUCACCUCAGAAAAGGAGAGGAAAGUGCCAAGAUAGCUUACAGUUCAUUAGGAUUUUUUCCAAGGGCUGGAGUGGGUCUGAAUAAUCUCAGUUAUAAUUUAAUUAAUCUAAUUAUCUUAGUUUCUGUUUUGGGGAAAGAGGUGGAGGCCUUUUUUAUAAAAAGGAUUAAUAAGGAACCAUUAAUAAGGAACCUAGCAGCAGUUGUGUCUUAGGUAUAUGUGCCAAGUCUGACCCUAGAGUUGAAAGAGAGAUAUGUAAAUUCUGGACCUUAAAAUGCUAAAUUGCCCUUAAAUUGCCAAUUAUGAUCACGUGUGUCUGCAUAGGAGAACAAAUCAGAACUCACCCUAGCUCUGGUCUCAUGGUCCAACUGCAGGCACACAGCACUGAGUUUAAUCAAACAAGCCUCACUUCUUCAUUCAGGAAUCUCUGAAGCUCCAUGGUAUGUAUUCCCUAUGUUCUUCUUUAAAUUCGGUUCCAUUUUAAAAUGAGAACUUACAUGGCACUAAGAAUAAUACCGAUAUCUAAGUAGACUGUCUCUCAAGGGUUACAUGACACAUGUAACAAGUAUGUUCAAUUUCAAUGCAGUUUGUAGACUUCGUUAAAGACAGCAACAUUAUCCCACAAACAGCAUCCAAAACAUUCAAAAAAAUUUUAUAGACCAACAGUGAGGGCCUUGAUAAUGAAGAAAUUUGGUCAGUUUUUUCUCUACAUUGACUUAUGAAAUUUCUUUAAUUGAGUUUUAUGACAUUCAUCUCAGAAAUUUAGUAAAUAAAAAUCACAGGUUGCAAAUGGUAUUUGUGUAGAUAUGUAAAAGAUCUACAGGAAGACCCUUUGAAUUUUGGGAAUGUGAGCCUAUUUCUACUACUCAAGUGGUACAGAUCCUGAGUGUCACUUAUUAAGUUAUUACUGCAAAACCACAGACUUCUCAUGUCACCAGUUGGACCUCCCUUUGCUUCUUGUCACUGCUUUUACUGUGCUGCCAGAACAAAUACAUUCAUUGAGUGGUAAGUUAUAAUUUUCCAGAUUUAUGCAGUGUUGGAAUAUUCCCCAUGGUAUCUUUCUGUGCACAUUUUGCAAUUCAGCUGCUUAAGGAAAAUUCUGGGAUUUGAAUUGCAAUUAUUUUUAAGUAACAAGUAAUUUAGUAUAAAAAUGGUCUGGUGAGUGUCACAGUUGUCUUUAUGGUCUUAAGUUUCAACUUCACACUGUGAAGACAGUAAGGUUUGUUCGUCAGCCAGAUCUUGAAGCUGAGAAUAGAGUUAAUUAACUGAGAUUGGCAGUAUAUGCUUUCCCUAUGUCAGGACAAAACUUUACCGGUGUUUUGAAAACAACCUUCCAGUUGUUUUUAUAUUAUUCUGACACUUUCUGGGAGUAUUUUUCAUAAACUGUUUUUACAAAUCACUGACAAAUAGGAUCGUAGAAUCAUAGAACAGUUUGGGUUGGAAGGAACUUUAAAGACCAUGGAGCUCCAACCGCCUGCUGUGGGCAGGGCUGCCAAUCAUCAGAUCAGACUGCCUGGGGUCCCAUCCAACCUGGCCUCAAAUAACUCCACAUAUGCCUAAUACUGAACAAAAUGAAUAUAAAUAGUUCAAGAUUCAAGGAACUUAGGAUAUAUAUAGGCACCUAUAUAAUGCAGUUCAGUGCACAUUGAAUGUUGCAAGUAUGAUCAGUGUAAGACCUUGUCUUUCCAUUUUCACAUUCAUAUUUUCAGGUUAGCACGAAGAAAGUUACUGUUCUUCAAUACAAAUGAGAUGAUCAAAAUUAUAUUUAUCUAUCUGAAAGAUUUUGAAGAUUUAAUACCUCUGUUAGUCCAUCUGCAGAGCCAACAGAAAUCCCAAGGUGGCCAUCUGGACAGAUUUCACUUCUAACAUUCAGCCACCAUUACUGUCUCUUCUCUUAGAAAUAUGUAAUUUGUGGGAAGCAGACAGAAGCAGUGUUAAGACAGCUGCCUGAAGUCUAGCUUUCUGGUCAGGUAAGUGUGUUGCAGAAACUAGAGAUCCGCAUGGCCGAGGAAACUGUAUGGAGUGGUUAAAAAUAGCUGAUGCACUGAACUAGUCAGUUUUCAUAUUGGGCUCAUAUAGGGCAGAGACUGUUAAUGAUUGUUGAAGCGUGUAUUUAUAGGAAGUUGACCAUGUGGAAACCUGGCCCAAAUCACCUCAGUCCCCAGUAUAUACAUAGAAAUUACCUAGAACCUUGUAAAUAAGGAAUACUCAUAAAUGUUUUUCUUCUUUUAAAAAUGACUUAAUGGUUACAGUUUUCCAUUCAGAAUACCUUUAGCUGUUUAAUGAAGCAUCAUGUACAGUAUGAACUACAUAAUAAUUAUAGGUUUUGGAGCUGUUUGUAAGUGAUAGCUUACAAUAAAAAAUGUCUGACUUAAGAAAACAGUCUUGCUCACAGAAUAGUAAUUUUAGCAUAAAAGUUUAUGAUUUUUUAUAGCUUUAUAACAUUUGAUGAUGCUAUAAAGCCCUCACAGUCUUUACUGUUUAAAAUGAUUUGAUAGCACACAUACGUUGUGUGAAUGCUGCAUUCUUCAUCAAAUUUUAUUUUUGCUUCCCGUUCUGUUAAAAAAUAAAAAUGUAGCAUGCAAAUACAGAGAUGAUUAUUUCCUACUUCAGUGUUUUAAACAUUUGACGUAGAGUGGAUGGUUAAAAAAUGAAAAAAUGUUUGUAGUUCUUAAAUGGAAAAAAAUUAGAAAAAUGUAAGAUAAAUAGAAUGAGCAAUAUUCUGUGAGUUUUUGUUUUUGUGCUUUUGUUGUUGCUGCUUUUUUUUUUUUUUUCCUAGAAGUGAAAUGAAUAUUGAUGAAAGAAAGGAAAAUAAAGGUUUUUGAAGAUUCAUGGAAAAAGAAUGCAUUUCCCAGAAUCAUCAGUCUCCAGGGUGACUGUACUCUUACAGCCAUGCUUGUGAAGAGAGGAGGUCCUUAAGCACUGCCCACCUCCUGUCUGUGCUUUGACAGCUGCCCUAAUGCAAUCAGGAGCCAGCAGGUAGGACAGAGCUGAAGCUCUCUGCCUGGGUACCAACUAAACAUGGAAGCUCAGAGGCCAGGGUGUACCAGAGAGAAAGCUGCCUCAGAAGAAAAGGGGUUAGUCUAGUUCUGAAUAGCUUGGACAUUAAGAGACUGGAGAAAGCAUGGUUCAAGAGUGGGAGUGAAAUUCCAUUGUCAGCAUUCAUGAAAAACUACUAGUGCUUCUAAUAGUUUUCUUGGGAAAUCAAAGCACCUGAAUUGCAUGUGUACCUGGCUUCUGUGGUUGGAAUACUGGAUGAAUGCCCUUGAAAACCCUGCCUGGUUCAUUAGUUAACUGGGAGAUGCCCAGAGGUUAUAUGUAGAACAUCACUGCAACUUUUGAACAUAGGAUCUGAAGGAAACCAGUUUCAGUGGAGGCCAUUAAAAUUAACUGGAAUUCAGUUUAGCGAGUACAUUGCUACUGCACAAAAGCAGUAUCUACAGCUUCAGCGAUAAAUCAUAGCAACCUCUAUAAAUGGUAUACCACAGAAAAUCACAAUUAAACAAAAUAAUGUUUUCCUCCUUUUACUCUAUUUCUCUAACAGCUGUAACAGCUGAAGUAUCAUGCCAGAGACAUUAAUAUGCCUGGCCCCUGAGUAAUUCUAGAUGUAGGCUAGAUUUACCUGGAUUACAGUUGUAUAUUUCAGAAGGUGAAGAAAAGAGAUGCAGCACUUGAGAUUUAAUUUUGACAGGAAAAAAGGCAGACACAAAGUUGAAGCAUCAUCUAAAUGGUUAAUUUGGAUACUUAGAGACUUCUAGCUGCUGUGGUGUGUGAACACCUGGGAAGAAAAGACUCCAGCAGGUAAACAGCUAUACUUUCCUACUACUGGUUUUGUCCUUGCACUGAUUUUUGUAGAUAUUGGUGACGAAUAGUUAAAUAAAUAAAUAAAUAAAUAAAUAAAAUCCCCUGUCCUUAGAUAACUCAAAAUCAACAUUUUGAAUUAAAUGAAGAACAGAAAAUAUUGAUUCUUAGCAAAACAAAUAGAGCAGGUGAACAAAAUCUGUGUUUUGAGAAUGAAUGUUUUAGCAAAGCCAGCAUUUGCAAAUUGGAAAAUAUCAAUAUUGCUCUCUGUCACUACAGCCAUGCAUCUCCCUGCACAGGAGUUAUUCUCAGUUAAUACCUCACAAAACUAAACAACUAAUGUAAGCUUAAAAUGAUAUUAAUUGUUCAGAAAACAAAGAAAAUUCUUCUCCAGAGGCACAAGAUUUCUCUUUACUAUACUUCCAUUUCUUGGAAAACAUCCAUAAAGGGCGCUGGACUUUUGCCUCAAUGAAUUUUGGUCAAUUCACUGUCCUUUCUGGUUCAAGGUUUGAGCUGAGAAUAUGUUUUCUAAUAUUCAAGGCCACAAUGUUAAAUUUGCAUUAGUAUUCCAGUGCUCACAUUUGGAAAGGCAGCAUUUGAGAUAGGACUUGCACAGUGCAGAGCUUAACUAGUUAGGAUUUAUAUCCUGAAUGUACUGAGAAGAAAAUAAAAAGCCAGUGUGUUUUGAUGAAGCACAAGUUCCUGUUGAACCUGUUGAAGGGUUCCUUCUGUUUUGUUUCACACAAGCACUGUUUAGGUAGCACAUGUGCCAGUUGGCCCAACAAUUUACCUCACAGGAGUCAGAAGUGCUAACAACUGAGAAAUGUUUUGCCAAAUCAAGAUGAAAUGUUGUCUUUUGUGUGUGUAACUAUGUCUUUAUGAAAUAAAUGACAGAAAUUCUGUCUAUCUCUAGAUCCACUGCAGAGGGAAUGUGUAAUGCAAUGAUCAUCAGGAACAGACUUAUCAGGGGUCAGAUCAAAGAUCCACAUGGCCGAGUAUCCUGUCUCUGAUCAGAUUCAAUGGCAAAUUCCUAAGGAAAAGCAAAACAGGUGGAAUUUGUUUGUCUGACUGCAGAAGUCCACAUUUCAGUCUGAACAUAUUGCUUGAGGUUCUUUCCACAGUGAAAGAAAUUGUCAGCAGAGCUGGUGGGAACUUGUCUUGGAGCAGAUGCUCAAAACAGGAGAGCAGUUUCUCCUGAGAAGUUCUUGUCUUUCUCCCUUGAAUGCAAAGAUAACCUGGAAAGAUUAGCUCAGCUGUAUAUUUUUAUAAUGUAGAUAUGGAGAAAUGAGAAGAAUUCCUCAGUGUUUAUCUCCUAUUUCUCCUGCUAAUUUACCCAUUUACCUUUUUUAUGCAGGUAAAUAAAUCCAUGAGGUAACUCAGUGUUAAUCCUAACUACCCAGUCUGAGAAGAACUGUCUUUUGUUAGUUCUAAAUUUGUAACCUGUUAGUUUCAUUUCUUGUUUCUUAAUAUUAUUUUGCUGAUAUGCUCACUAAAAGGAAAUCAACUGAUAGUAUGAAGGUUCUUAACGACAAGCUUACAUGGCAUAGACCUUUGUGAGCCUUACCUGCCUUUGCAGCAUAUAGGGUAUACAGAAGCAGAAUGUGCUGUGUCAUGAAGCAUCUGCUGAAGGACAACCAAAAAUUGGAUUGAAUGACUUGAGUAGCAACCAGAGUUCCCUCUAGUAUAAUCAUGUUGAUUUGACUGUUACGAUUGGAACACAAAAGAUAAUGAUGAUUUGUGUGAUGCUCAAAGCUGAUAAGAUUUUCCAUAAAAAUUUGGUGUUGUUUUUGAUCCCGAAAUAUCAGACAGAUAAAUAAGCAAAAUACGUUCACUGUACCGAUUUCUUACGCAGACAUUUAAAUUGUGAACAUUUUAAGAUUAAGAAAUGUAUUUUGUAAAGGAGCAAAAUUGAACUUGCCUGUCACUGAAGAGACAGAUAAUUCGUUGUGUGACAGGAAACACAGGGUUAUAUUUAGAAAAGGUUUAUUGUAUGGUCUUCAGUUGUAACUGCUUGAUGCAAAGGAAAUUUUGGAACUCUACUUUCCUUAGCUGUUUGAUGGAAAAGGUUCUUGAGAAUAUGUACUUUACCCACUGCCUAGUCACAGUCUUCCUCUGAACUCUAGGUUUCAAAUAAUCUCCUGGACCAUAGUUUGUAAUUAACUGGCUUUAAGUCACAGACUUUAACACGAGUAACUCUGCUCACUGAGCUGGAGUAACUUCAUAAAUAAACCUUGUACCCUGGGAAGUCCUCAUAACUCUCUCCAAAGUUCUCUUCCAUGCUAAUUAGCACAAAUGAGGCAAAAAAGGAUCUGCAACCAAUAAACAACUCUAGCUCCUUGUAGAAGAUGAUAAAGGUGCCAUUUCUUAUAAUACAGAUUAGAGAAGUCUUGAGCUGAAUUAUACAUUACAGACAUCCUACCCAUUAUGCAGUGUGUGUUGAAGGCUAUUAUCUUCAGUCCUUUGGGAACCGUGAGAUACGAGAGACAUAGAAGCUAAGAAGAAAGAAGAUGAAAAAAGAAAACUUUUUUUGCUGGAAGCAAAUUUUAGUUUAUUAUUCAGCUCAGUUCCACUGUUCCACUUUCAAAGUUUCACUAGAUGUUCCAGUUAAAUAGCAAAUGGUAGUUUGAAAAAGAAAGAUUCCUUUAAAGUAGAAUUUCUUCAGGGAGGACAGGUACAGUCUCCAGAAUUCUAACAUUAAAGCAACUGAAUUUGCCAAAAUAGGUUAGGCAACCUUUCCUUAGAUUUUCUUUUAUUUUUAUCUAUGAAACAAACUCUGCUUACCACUGCUUAUGGCUACUUAUGAUGACAAGUUUGACUUCUGUCUAAACCAGGGUGCUACUUAUUUUAUACUCAUAUUUUAAGAUGAUCUCAUUUAGGAACAUACUUCAAACCACUUUCUGAAAGCAACGGUGUGUACUCUUUUUUUUUUUUUUUUUUUCAUUCUUGAGCGUUCGAGGAGGUUAGCUUCAUUCCUUAGAAGCUUAAAGUUAAUGUAUUCAUUUUUUACCCUUCUUUCCAAGGGGCAUUCACGAUGUGUCAUUAACCAGCAGUGCUAUCUCUUUGUAAUGCAGGCUCUCAUAUGACUUGACCCAUACUUCUAGUAGUCUGCACCAUCAGCUCAAGUACAGUAAACACCUACUUGCUGAAAUCACACUCGGAUACCGGAAUCCCUUGUGACAAUACAUACUUUCAUGGUAUAAACAGCUGAAUAUUGUACAUGAGAAUUCCAGAUGGCUGAGAGAAACAGAAAUUAUGAUUUUCCUCUCAUAAGAAAUUAAGACUAUUUAAUUUUUGUAAAAAUACCCUAGAGGACUAUUAUGUGACUUGCAUUUUUUUUUUUUUCCUUCCCAGUCUCAGAAUAAGAAUUUGCAGAAUGCUACUUUGUCAGAUGGAAAGCAUGUAUUUUUCCCUCUUGGUGAAAAAAAAAAAUCAUAUUAUUGGUUGCAUGAAUAUGAUUUUAACUGGCUUUUCAUGACUAUAAUAUAUUUGAAAAGAAGACAUUGUGCACAUAAAUGAAAGCAAAGGUUUUGGUUAGAACAAAUCCAGUUCAUUCUCUCAAAUUUCUCCAACUAAGGCAAGGUUCUUCAUAACUUUAUAGGGAGGAAACUAUAAACAUUCUUUGAUGAAAAUGUUAUAAUCUUUGUAGAUCAUUUGUAAUUAUGCAUUAAACAAAACAAUGAAAGUGAAGUGUACCUAACAUUUACCACUGAACAACUUGCAUAAGGAUAACUUUUCCCACUUCAUACUCCAGUGAAAGAAUACCUUGAUAAAAUGGUUAACUGGAAACAGAUGUUAAGUGUUGGGAUAAAAUGCCUGUAGCAACUUUAAACAAAUUCAUAUCUAUCUCAGCUAAGCCUAUGCUUGACAGGUAAAGUACAAGGGGCCCCUAUCUUCUUUCUGUUGCUUACAGCAGCACAGGUAACAUACGUUUUCUGAUUAACUUUUAGUGUGGUAGAAGCUGCUGCAAGCCAAGAGCCAGCUAUAUUUAGUAGGCAAGGGACAAGGCAUCUGAGGGAAAAAGUCUAGCCAAAUAUAAUGAAUUGUUUGAAAGCUGAAGACGAAUACAUUUCCAUUUCUUAAGACCUGUGUUCUGAUCUUGAAUUUCUGUCACAAGAUUAAGGAUUAAGGACCGUCAGAAAAAGAAGUAAACCUGGCAACAUAGCCAUUGCCUCCCAUAGGCAAAUACAGGAUGAAAAUCAGAUCUCUUUUACUACAGGGAGUCUAGGAAAGCUUCUGCUUGACUAAAAAAAUGCCUUAUUUCCUCCUCCUCCUCCUCCCCCCCGUCCCCACCAUUCAGUUGAAAAAUAAAUAUUAAAGAAAAAUAAAUAUGAGUAAAUGCAUUCUAAAAGCAGAAUGGAGAAUUAUCUCAAUAAUGGAAAAGGAAUCCUGUCUUCUCUUCACCUGUACCCUAGAAAUUUAUGAAAGUUACUGGAGGUUAAUCAGAAACAAUCAUGAAAUCUGAAACAAGCUCCAUUUUUUUGUGAAAAAACAGAAGAAUAUUGUCAUGUAUUCAACCUCCUCAGUUCAAUUACAAUAAGCUUAUUCCUCAGUUAUGAUUAACAUCACUAAGGCUGUUAUCUCAAAGGGUCACAAUUCAAAUCUAUCCUAUACUUGUCUCUUACUGAUGCUACCAGAACUUUUGGAGCAUGGAUUUCAAAGCAGAACCUGAGUGGCAGACUAGGAAUCAAUGUAAUCUUUUACACUUAGAUGUUUGUAACACUGUUUUUCAUCUGUUGCAGUUUGAAACACAACUAAGACUUGCCUCCCUCUGGAAGGAAUCCAAAAUGGAGGUUCUUAUGGGAAGAACACAGUUGUUCUGUUUUUGUUGUUGUUGUUGUUGUUUGUUUGUUUGUUUGUUUUUCUUAUAAAUAUACUUCAUUAUUGUUGUUGUUUGUUUUGUUUUGUACCAUUUUGUUUCUUUUGUGUAGAUCACGUCAAAUAACAGUGGAGGCUGAAUUUAGUCAAAAGAGGAAGUGAUUCAAAUAUUUCUAGUUUGCAUCAUAGUUAUAACGGUCCUGAAACAAGACUGGAAGUUCAUUUAUUUUUAAGCUGCCACCUUUAAAACAGCCUCUGUGGCUAUACCGUGAUAUUCUGAGGCCAACAUUCAUUUGAGCAAAUGCUCCUAGCUGGCUGUUCUCUGUGAGAUCUCCAGGCUUAGGCAUUCAGUAUCUCUAUUCCAACAGUUGUGCAAAACAAUUAGAUUCAUUUGUCUUCAGAGCACAUGGCAAGCUUUUGUGAAAGAGGAGGCCUGUGGUUGUUGGACAUAAAGUUGAUGGGAUGGUUAGAAUUUGCUGACAGCUUGGAAGCUUUGUCUUUCUUUCUCUCACCACCUUGUGGAGGAAAAAUUGCUGUUGUUACUAAAUUCUCUUCAACUUGGUUAGGCUUUGUAGAGAUUCGUGAUUUUAGAAAUGUCUUUUAGACAGAGCAACAAACUGAAAAUACAUUUAUUUCUGGAAAUACUUAAGGUUUCAUUGUGAUAACAGUGGGUUGUAUUUGUGCUAUGUUUUACUCCCUGCAUUUCAAAUGUAACUAUCUGCAUAGACUGAGAACACUUGCUCUGCAUGUAAAACCAUCUAGUGUUGUUCUACCUAAAAUCAGGAGUUAUACCAAAAUCCAGGUGAUUUCUCAGCUGUUAUGGUUUCUUUGCUUAUUCUAAGUUAUUUUUUGUUUUUAUUUUUUUUCUUUUUCCUUUUUUCUCUGCAGCAGUAAGUAAAAUGUGUCUGAAUCUGUUGUAGGCUGACUUUUUAAAUGUUAGUUUCUGCUGAAGUCUUCUAAACACUAGAUGUUAUACUUCUUUAAAGGAAUUUCUUUUUUUUCCUGUGCCAGAGAUCCUGUCCCAAACUGACAUAGAAGUUGUUUUUAGCUCAGAUAUUUCCUAAAAAAAAAAACAACAAACAAAACCAAAAUAAAACAAAAAAAGAGAAUUAUACCUCAAUGAAAAUGUGAUGCAGAAAACUCUUAGAGCAUUUUGAACUGAUUGAAACCCAUCCAAAUAAGGCUAAAUAAUUCAGUUUUAGAUGAUAACACAGGCAUCAUGCAUCAUUGCCUUUCGUAUUAUCUUAGCAAAGCUACAACUAAGCUGUGUUCAUUCCUGUGUCUUAUCAGGAGUAUUGCACAAUACCCUAUAGUACACUUAAGGGCAAAGUUCCUUUGAUGCAGACUUUGUCACCUGUUAAAUACACCCAGAGUACACAUUAUCUAGGUAAACUUCUGACCUUUUGAAAUUAAAUUAUCUACUUCCAGUGAAUCAGAUUUAAAAUCAUUUUACAAAUUGGGAUAAGCUCAAUUUAUCCUAGUUUUUCAGAUUAAAUAUUAUUAAAAUCCUCCUUUGUCUGAGUCACUUUUCUGAAGCUUGCCUGUCAAUGCCCUUGAGAGAAUUAUAAACAUUUGUUGGGAUACUAGACAACACUGAAGAACUACUAUUUUCAAAAACAAGCAAGCAAACAAAACCAAACUCCCUCACCUGUCAUAGUUAUACGACAUAGUUAAAUUUCCAGAUUUAUUGCUUUAGCAUUUUUUUAAUGCCAUACAAUUUCUUUUUGUUACACCUACAAUUGGAUUAGUAUAGAAUAAAGCUCUCAUCCAGAAACGCUUUUUAACUGUCUGCCUCUUUGAAUGGAUUUAAUCGUUUUGUAUUUAAACUAACGAAUUAUGUAAAUGAUGUUGCUUAAUCUAAUUUAAAAUACCAUUUAAUUUUCAUAUACUUUUUUGUUUUUACAUUACUUUGACAGCACUGACAUCAGUCCUAUUUUUACACUAAUAUAAAAAUUAAUAUAGGAUUGCUCUUCACAUGCUUUUUUAGUCUACUUUCUAGUGCAAGUAUCUUAUUCUUUCAGGACCAGCAAAAUAAUAUUAAAGUUGUCUGUAAAAAUUUCUGAACAAAAUUGAAUCAACUAGACAAAGUCAAUUUAGAGAAGUAUAUAUUACAUGUGUGUAGGUGCACUAAUCUUUUCUCAUUAGUUUUAGAUUAAGCAUUUUCCUAUUAAAAGUAAAAUCCUGUUACCUAAGAGCACUGCACAUUUCUCCAAAAGGACAAUGUAAAUUGUUCAGAUUAUCUAAAAUAUAAAAUUGAUAGAAAACACAGAAAAGGCACAGAUGCUUUGGUUUUCUUUACUUUUUUUCAUUCCCUCUUUUUUUUUUCCCCCUGAAUUUGUUUGUGUGGAAUGCAUAUGGAAUUUGUUGUAUCAACAGCAAACAAUGUCUUUUUUUAAAAGGGUAUUUUACUGAUAUUACUUGACGUGUUUUUAAUUAUUCCAGAAAUCAAGAAGUACAAAUGAAACACAUCUGUAUGAUUGCUGUUUUCCCAGAGAAGAGCUGAAAUGCACACAGCUGAGAGACUGCUUUCCAGUGCUGCCAUAUAAGGUAAUCAGGAAACACUGGACCCUGGUUCUGCUUAUUCAAGUGUAACCAAGAUUUGGAGUUUCCAAGUCCACUUUAAAAACCUUUAACUACUUAAAGCAUUGGAAUAAAGCUGACCACAAAGAUGGAAAAGAGAUGGAAGAGUGAGAAGAAGGAAAAAGAAGUUUUGAAGCAGAGACCAGAAAAAGAAAGACUGCGAAUGAUUUUGAAGCUCAUACAAGAUGUAGAAUGCCAAUCUCUUCUCUGUGUUCUAGAGGAGCUUUAAACAGCAAGCAAUAGAGUUGGCCAACUGAAGCACAUUAUUCAGCUGUGUUCUCUUUGGAGAUAACUGGUAAUUCUGAAAGGGAGAUGAGGGAGGAAGAAAGAAAGAAAGCUAUAACUUCUUGGUUUGUAAAUCUGCUGGUGAUAUAGUGAACUUAGAUUAAUUUCACAGCUCAAUCUUGAUAGUUAAAGUUGUGUUUUGUGUUUGAUCAUCCUAGGCCUGAGAACAUCCCUGUUAACCUUGUUGCAGCUCUCAACAAUGUAAAAAAAACUUCCUACCAAAUUAUAUUUUUAAUACACCUUAUGAUUUGGUAUAGAUAUGAAGGUAGAUGAAGAGGACAUAAAGAGAUACGUAGAAAAAGACCCAUAGUCCUUAAAAGGAGUUUUGCUCACUUCUGUAAAGGGACUGCAACAGUCCUUGUAGUAUUUUUUUUUGCAGGUGCUAUAAGAAUUACUCUGAAUGGCAGAAGAUGAACUUUGGCAGAAAAUACAGCGGAAACUUCAGCAGCUUAGGCAUGGUUAUAUACAGGUCUCAAUUGCUUUUAACUGAAGUCUUGUUUUGUUGUCUACAAAGGUUGUCUUGCUUUCAGAAAAGUAUGAGCUAUGUUUCAAUGAGACAGAAUUCUGAAAAAAAAAAAAAAAGUUUGAUGUUAUUUACAUUCACUGUAACUAAUCUGAAUCACUGAUUCUGGUUGGGACUGACAUCCCUGUCUAAGUCCCAAACCUAGUAUGAUUUUGUAUGUAGAGCCAGUUUAAAGUCACAGGCUCAGCUAGGUCUAGCUAGAACUGAUGAAGGAUAGAAGAUACAGAUUAAACAUUUUUCUCUAUUGUGAGACUAUAAAUAAAAAAUUGAAUGUGACCUUAUAACCAAAUGAUUUAUUCAUUGCUAUAUUAUUGAUAUCAAUGUGAAAUGUGUUGCUUUGCUGAGAAAGGGAAGGAUUUUGUGAGGAUACUGAAUGGUUGUUUUUUUUUUAGUGUCCUUAAAGUACAAACUGAUGGGGUCUGCUUCCUCUGUAGAAAUGGUAGUUUUCACUCAAAAGAAUAAAUGCUGUCACUUUAUGCUUCACAACUCUAGAAUGUUUCAGUUGUAGUGAAAACCCAGGAGUUUCUUGGCUUUUUGCUUUUAGUGGAGGACACAUUACUCUGUGAGAGACUUUACUUGGACAAAAUAACAUAGAAAAUGUUAACUUAGAAAAUAGACCAAAUAAUCUGCCACAGCUGUAGUUGUUUUUGUUUUGUUUUGUUUUUUACAAAUCAGCAAUGAACAAUUUGAUCUAAUUCAGAAAUAAUCAAAGGCUGCAUAAAUAUUUGGCUGCUACAAGUUUAAAAUAGUACCACGAUAAAAUUUCACGUACACAUGUCUUCUAAGAACAUAUUUCUUGUAAAUUUCACUGCACUGAAUAAUAACUUGAAUUAUUUUUAUCAGUACAAAAGUAAGUCUCCCUACACUACUCUAUUUUUUAUUAACAAUCACUUUUUAAUCUGUAUAUACUAUAUACAGCUAGUAGCUCUUUCAUUUUUGUACUUUCAAUCUGCUUCACAGGGUAUUAAUUAUGCACAAGUUGGCUACAUCUCUUCUGUCAUACCGAACAGCCACAUCUGCAUUUAAUCAUUCAUUAUAUGCUGUAAUCUACCACCUAACUUCCAGUCACUUUUACUAUCUAAAAGCAAGUAGGAGGUACUUAAGAAUCUAUCCCUGAAUAUCUAAUUGCAUACUUAACUGAUUAGUUUUAUAUGACAGUCUCUUAUAAACAUGCUAAUAAGUUGAAGACUCUUAAUUUGUAUCUACAUGCUACUGAUUUCUGUAUGAUUAUACAUAAUGAACUCAUCAUGAUCACACUUAGUGCUGCUCUUCUGAGAAUCAUGAAAAUAAAUGCAGAGUUUGGAGAGAAGGAUGUAGACAAAGGCAGAAAUGAUCAGUAAUAUGUUGCUUUGUAAGAGAUUUGAUGAGAAACUUCAUUCAGGUUUGCUUUGAGAAAUGGCUUAUUCCAAAUAGUUCAAGAGGAAAUAAAAGGACCAUGAAAACCUGGACAAUGAGGUAAACAAAAGUGAAAAGAAUUCACACAGAUGCUGUUUUACACCUAGCUCAACUAAUAACACCCAUCAUGCUCAGAGAUACAGGAAAAAGUGAAUCCAUGCCAAAUAAACCACCUCAGGUGUCAGUACUGGUGACUUCUAGUUACUUCCAAGCAUCUCAGUUAUUCACAGAACAGAGGCAAUGGGAGAGGUCCAAAGGAACUCUGUAUUGCCAUGUCACUGCUUUUCUGAGUAUUUCAAUACCUCCAUUAAAGUAAUGCCAUUACUAUGACCAAUUCACAAGCUUGAUUGAAAUUUCUUUAACAAUGUACAAUGUUGCAGACAGGAUGAGGUUAUCCAUUCCACCUCUGCUUUUUCUAGGGCAAUAGCUGAGAAAGGGAGUUUUAAAGGUAAACAGAAAUCUGAGGUAAUUCCUAAAGAAAAUGAACACUUACUAACUUUAAAGUAGUUAUUGUUAUACAAAGUGAGUUUUUGGGGUUAGCACAAAAGAAGAACAGCAUUUAAGGUCAAUAAAGGUGCAAUACUUUCCAUUGUUCACUGCAUUUCUACAUAAGUCUUAGAAACAGCACAAUCUGUAGCUCUCUUAUACAUAUAGGUAGCCUCUGGAGCUAUAUCACGGUUGUCCGUGAUUUUUCACUUGUUAUUAAAGGGCAUGAAUUCUUCCAAAGGGCAAGGCUAGUGCAUUUACUCAGACACCUACGCAAAUUGUCCCAGGAUCCUAAUUUGAUGUACCUCAGUGGAAAGUGAUUAGGGUCAGAGGACUUAAGCUGUAUUCUAACACAUAUUAGAUUUAAAUAAUCCUGUCUCAUCUCUUCUGGCUCCUAACCAGUUUAUUUUAACACUAAGUGAGUUUGUUUGUAAAGUCUAAAUGAAUUUUAACAGCUUCUAGUGACAUUUUACUAGAAAACAGAAAAACUGUAGCAAUUCAGGUUCCAAAGUGUAUCAGCGUUCAAUUUUUGAGGGUUUCUCAGUAGACUGAACUUUCCAGAGAUCCUUAUCAUUCAUAUAAAAUAGAUUGGGAUAAUAUCCUCAGAGUUAAUCUAUUUAAAAUGAAUAGUGAUCUUAGAUCCUUUCGGCAUUGGAUUUGUUAAGAAGAAAGUGAUAUUACUGCAGAGUUAGUCCCACUUCCAAGGCCAUGCAAUGGCUUUUCUCAAGCAAUUAAGAAGCUGUACAACUUCUACCUUUAAGAUAACUGUGGAAGAUAUAAUCUUUUAAGAUUAGACUACUCUACUGAUAGAAUUUAUCUUCUUUUCUCUCAUUAAAUAUUUUAAGAUUCUAAUUAACAGACCCUAUUCAAGAAUUUCUGAGAUGAAUGAAGGCAUAUUCAUAUUUUCUGAGAGCACUUUAUUCAGUCUUAUUUUAAAAGCCUAAAUUACAUAUAAGGUAUAUAUGUGUUUUUAAAUACAUUAGUCAGAAGGAAAUGAGUAAUAAUGCUGCACUGUAUUGUGCUGAUCUGUCCAGGCAUAGAAGAGGAUAAGUUGCUAUAUUUAUUGAUGCAAAACUUGUGGAUAACCUUGGUAAACCUUGCAUUUCCUCUGCAAUAGCUACAAAUGGUGGUUAAUGUUAAGCGAGAAAUUUGCAGAAAGCUUAUUAAAAACACAGCCUGUUUCUGCAGACUUUGUUUCGCUUUGACAUUUUAACCACAGUUUACCAGGAUGUGUCAAAACUUCUUGACUAGUCAUAGCAAUCUCCUCAGAAAAUAUGAGGAAAAGGUUUCUGUGCUCUUUCUUUCUUUCCUCCUUCUUUCUCUAUCCAUAAAUAUUUCAUAGAAUCAUACAGUUUUUUGAGUUGGAAGGGACCCUUAAAAGUCAACGAGUCCAACUCCCCUGUAAUUAAUAGGGACAUCCACAGCUAGAUCAGAUUUCUUAGAGUUUGUUCCAGCCUGAUCUUAAAUGUUUCUAGGGACUGGGAGUCCACCACCUCUCUGGGCAACCUGUUCCAAUGCUUCACUGCUGUUAUCAUUAAAAAAAACUUUGUUCUUAUACCCAAUCUAAAUCUCCUCUCUUUUAGUUUGAAACUAUUUCCCCUUGUCCUAUUAGAAAAGACCCUACUAAAGAGUCUGUCUCCUUCCUUCUCAUAGCUCCUUUUAAACACUGAAAGGUCACUAUCACGUUUCCCUGGAGCCUUCUGUUCUCCAAGCUGGACAGUCCCAGCUCUCUCAGCCUGUCCUCUUAAGGGAGUUGUUCCACCCCUUGGAUCUUUUUUAUGGCCCUCCUCUGGAUGCUUUCUGACAGAUCCACACCUCUCCUGUACUGAGGACUUCACAUCUGUCAUUGCUGCAGAGACCAGCUUUAGAGCAGGUAAGACUGCACUGAGUAAGGGACCUAAAGCAAAAAGGCCGACCAAAAAGCUCUUUUUAGGGCUUUUUUGAAGCUAGCAAAAGCACUGUACCGGUGCCGGGGGGCUGGCAGCUUGUGGGUGGGCUGCUGAGCCAGCAGGGGCAGAGCUGUCACUGCCCACUCUUAUCUCGUGAGUUCGACCUUGACCCUUUGCUGUGUGGCUAAAAUCAGCCUUCUGGAUGGCAGAAACAAGCUUCCACCCACUUAACACACCAGGUGAGAAAAGGGCGUUACCUUCCACUGACAAGAGGAAGGGAAGUCAGUGUGUGAGCACAGCCCACACUACCCAUAGAGUACUGCAGCAGCGGGUGUGAGUGGUGGGUCUUGUGGCAGGACACGUGAGUGUUUUUUGUCUUUGCUCAGACCGGGUCUCCUAUGGACAGACCCUGAGACCACCAGUUCAAACAUGGUCUCUACCAGGCAGCAGGCUUGCCCCAUGAAAACUGUGGAGACCCAGGCAGAGGGCCUGCCCAGAAAUGCUGCCGUUCAGGUCUCUGGCUGCAGGGAGUGCCUGAGCCUGCUGCUGCCAAGGGAGGAUGGGAAGGAUCCCACCUGCGUGAGGUGCGAGCAGGUAGACAAGCUGCUCAGCCUGGUGGUGGAGCUCAGGGAGGAGGUGGAGAGAUUAAGAACUAUCAGAGAGUGCGACCUUCUAGAGGCUUGGGGCAGAGUGGCUGGAAGACUGUGUAGAGAUGGACCUGAGGAUAUUGAUUGAUGCUCAACUGAACAUGAGCCAGCAGUGUGCCCAGGUGGCCAAGAAGGCCAAUGGCAUCCUGGCUUGUAUCAGAAAUAGUGUUGCCAGCAGGAACAGGGAAGUAAUUAUCCCCCUGUACUCAGCACUGGUGAGGCUGCACCUUGAGUACUGUGUACAGUUUUGGGCCCCUCACUGUAAGAAAGACAUCGAAGCCCUGGAUCGUGUCCAGAGGAGGGCAACAAAGCUGGUGAGGGGUCUGGAGCACAGGCCUUACGAGGAGUGGCUGAAGGAGCUGGGAUUGUUCAGUCUAGAGAAGAGGAGGCUCGGGAGAGACUGAAUUGAGAACGAUUCUAUGAUUCUGUAUUCCUCUUUUCCCAAAAGACUUAAUUCAAUACUCUUCCUAAACUGGUCAUUUGUUGGAAGCAUCUAACUUUACCACUAUAUAAAAUACAUAAACCAUUUUUCAUUACAUAAACUAUUAUCUUAACAGAUCAGGAUAAGAAAUGAAAAGUUGUUUUCUUGUGACACCAGCAAGGACAUCUAUGUAGGGGAAAAAAGGGAAUGUAUUAAGAAAGUAAACAACUGAUCACAGACAUCUCGGAGAAUGUGUGGAUCUUUUACACUGAGUUAUAAUAUCAAACUGCACUAGGGCAACAAGGAAUUCAAAAGGUUAUGCUUCUUUGCAUCUGUAAAUACAUGGAUGUUUGGAAAAUAUGUUUAAUGUUUUUAAAAAAUGAUUCAGCAAAGAAAAAGAGCAGUGCAGUGAGAUAAAAAGAUGAUUUAUCCUGUGGCCAGUGUGCUUCAAAUUGACCAGAGAAAGUAAUCUAAUCAGACUUUAUUAAACUGAUUCUGCAGUACAUCCCCAGUGCCUGGAAGCAUUGUCUGAGCUGGUCUGCAGUCUAAUCCUACUUUAGGAGGUUUGCCAACUAUUUAGCCUUUUCUAAGUAGAAAUAGAGCCACAAAAAUUUAAUUACUGCUAUUUUAAUAAGGAAAAUGUAAAACGUUGAUGAUGUCUGACAUAUGAAAGAAGCUGCAUUAGUGACAACAGUAUUUAAAAAACUCUGAUCAAGCACAACCUUUUUAUUUUGAGCAAGAUAUAGCAGAUAAUGUAGGCUCAAAAACCAGCCUAAAGAGCUGCUGCCAGGUUAUAUAAUCUCUGAGAACUCAUCCAAGGCAGUCCUGAAGCCAAACACAGAGAGGAGAAUUGCUAAGGGGUUGUGUUUGCUUCAACAGUUUCCCCCACUGCAUGACAAUCUCUGCCCCAUAAGCUGGCAGUGUUGAUGGUGGCUGUUUCAGAUUUCUGUAGAAAAAUAAGCUCAAUUCAUGUAAAAUAAUGUUUCCCACAGAUGACCUAAAAAGCAUGCCCAGAAAAUAAGUGCAGACUGUUGUCAGUCCUUGCUGGCAUUUGCAGAUGUCUAAGUUUCCUUCCAUCAUCCUUUGUAUGCUAGGUUAAAUCCUAGAAAGUUGCCAUGUCUCCUGGUAAAAAGAUUGCAUGGAGAAAUUCCUCUUCAAUCACACUACAAUGAACAAAGUUCCCAUGUUACAUUAUGGCAAUAAGUCACUACUUUUCAUGCACAUCUGUCAAUUUCAGGAGGUAUUGCAUUCCCUUGGGUGCAAUCCCCUUCAGUGUUUCACUGAAGAUAGGGUUACUGCUCUGUGUGGUUUCCUUUCACACAAGAGUAAUAUAGCACUUUUUCACUGAAAAAGGUCAGAAAAUUGCAACUUGUUGAUUACACUGUUCAAGAAGUUGCUCUCUCUUUUGCAUUUUGCCUGCAGCACUGCUACUGCACAAUAUUCCACUUUGAGUCUUGGGUCUACUUGUGAUUCUGUUUGUUUCUCCUGGACAAGCAGCACUACUUGUGUAAUCCUCUGAUGCAUAUUGAUGCCUUAAGUUGCUAACUCUGGCUUCUCUCCUUCUGCAUACUUCUAUUUCUUCAUGAACUUGUCCUUCAAGGCACAUGUCAGUAUUUGUUGUGGAAUGGACAAUGGCUGCCAGUACUCAAGUACUGUCUUUCCUUUUUGCCUCAACCAGGGUGGGCUUGCAUUUAUAGCCCAGUAGGCCAACUGUAUCCUAGGCUACAUCAAGAGAGGGGUGGCCAGCAAGGCAUGGGAGGUGAUUGUUGUCCUCUACUCUGCCCUCAUGAGGCCCCAUCUGGAGUACAGAAUCCAGAUCUGGGGCCCCCAGCACAAGUGGAGCAAUUGGAGGGGGUCCGGAGGAAGUCCAUGAAGAUGAUUAGAAGGCUGGAGCAUCUCUCCAAUGAAGAAGGAGGUGUUCAAGGCCAGGUUGGAUGGAUCCUGAGCAAUCUAAUCCAGUGCUUGAUUUAGAGGUUGGCAACAUUGCCCCAUGGCAAGAAGAUUGGAACUAGACGAUCCUUAAGGUCCCUUCUAACUCAAGCCAUUCUGUGAUUCUGUGUUUCAAUGAUUCUAUGAUAGAUGUAUGUGGAAACAGGGAAGUCUUGAGUUUUAAGGGUACAAAUGAUUUAGAUUUCCAUGGAAGGAAUUUUGCCUUCCAGAGUUCAUUCUGGGAUUUAAUUCUGUUUUAAAAUCAUUUGACCAAUGCUAGCGUGCUUCCAUAAUACUCACUGAUGGGUAUUGUUUCACUUAUAUGCAUUUUACUUCAGGGAACAUUGUGAAAAUAUUUCACUUCUUAUGUCUGCAAAAAUAUGGAUUAGAAUUGCUCAAUCCAAAAAAAAGAACAAGCAAAUAAUGUCAAGUUCACAAAAUUAAAGGCAAUUAUAGACUAUUUUAUAUACAUUUAAAAAAUAAAGCAAUAAAUGGCCAGUUUUGAACAUUCUCAGUGAUCACUAGAGAUUAGCUGUUAUGUUUUAUAUUCUCUGUUAUCUUUCAAGCAGAAAACCAAAUUUCUAGCCUGUUUCUUUAAAAUUCCUAGGUUUUGUAUGUGUGGUGCUCAUUCAAUUAUUUUAUAUAUUUAUUUUGCUUGUUUGAUGGCUUUGCAUUUGGAAGGCUGCCUGAGGAGAGAUGCCUGAAGGAAAAGAGGAAAUCCAGACAACUAUAAAAAUAUCCUACAUGUUUUCACAGCAAAAAAUGCAUGGGCACAAUGGCAGAUCUCUCCCAUGUUAACGCUGCAGCUGCAUAUAACAGAGGAGACUGCAUCACUAUCACCCUGGUGUGACAUUUUUGUGAGAUGCAGUUAGUACAAUGCUGUGACAUUUACAGUGUUGUGCACUGCAUUUAGUGGCAGAUCUGCUAACAACAGCAGAUCUAUUCCUGGCCACAUAGAGUGGAAUGCUGCCUACUCACUCUCUCCUCUCUGCAUUGGUUUCCUGCCCUAAUGUACGUUACAUUUAGAACUUUGAUGUUAACUGAAGGCCAGCCAAAAAAGGACUUGGAAUCUGAAUGCUUUCAUAUUUCUGGAUAUGGGGUGGUUUUGAAUUUCCAGAUUAGUAGUAACUCAUCUGAUGUUAGUGUUGAGUUGUUUCCAGAACCAUAUGGGACCUAAUUUCUAAUGCAGCCAAGAACUUAAAGCCAAUCUGAAGAAACGUGGGACAAGCUGACAAAAAAAAAAGUAUCACAGGCAGAAUAACAGUGAAAGAUUUACAUCAGUUUCCCCCUCAUAAACUUUAGUCAUUUGCCUUGAAGUUACUCAGAAGUUACACCGAUGUCUAUUAUUUUCUUAUUCAGUGGUACAAAUGUUCAUACUCAUCUCAUCUGUGUAAAUAUACAUCCGUGUAAAUAUGAAAGUGAUUAGAUCAAAGAAAACUCUCUUUUUCAUUUUCCUGAAGUAACUAAUUUUAUCAGCUAAGCAUUAAGUGUACUUUUUAAAAUGAUCGUUCAUGCUUUCGCUGAUAAACAGGAGAUAACUAACUGCAUGUCCCAGGCAACUACUUUAUUGAAGUGAGAUGAAUGAUCUUCUGAAGGCUCCCUUCUUCAUGAGCUGCAGUGAUCCUAGACAGUUAUUCUAGACAUUUGGUGUUUAGACAUCUCAGUGUUUUCACACAACUCUGUGUUCCUACCCUUUGUGUAACUUUUAUAUGCAAAAACCAUUGAGCAAUGUAAAAUAUGACCCCCAUUUUAGAACAAUCCCAAGAGAAUUUUUUUUUUAAAUAAAUUUCAUCUACCUGGAAAUGUUAGGACAAAAGUAAGAUUUUCAUGGUUUUCCAUUACUCCCUGUAAAAGCAGAGAAAAAAAGUCUGUUAGAUCUACGAAUAAAAGGAAAUUGGCUGAAAAGAGCUAAUUCAUAAUGAAACUAACUUGUCAGACUAUUUUCAUAGCACUAUCUGUACAAAGAUUAAAAAAAAAAAACACCUCUCAUAAAAUAUUAAUGCUUUAACCUUUAAGUUAUUAGCCCUUAUAAAUUUAAACUACUGCUUACAUUGUAGAGAUGGAAAAGUUUAAGCUAACAGGAAGAGAUGAAAACAGGGCUUUAUCUUCUCUCUCCUAUGGCUGGGUUUUUAAUAUGUUAUCAUUCUUCUCUCUCUCUAAAUCAGUAAAUUAAGUGAUGUUAAUCAUCUCAAAAGCAGAUACACUUCUAGUACAUGUGUAACACACACUAAAGACACAUUUGAGCCUCCCUCACAAGAGAAAGGAUUGAUCAAAUAUAGCUCUUCAGUGCGAGGAGGCACUGGGACAUCAUUUUUUCCCAGUACCUUUCCCAAAACAGUAGCAUAAAAAACAUCUCUAAAAUGCCUGUAGUAGAAAUCAGUAUAGCCAGUAGGAUCUCAACACAACAGAUGAAACUGAAGUGCAUAAAUAGUGAAUUGCACUGCAGCCAGCUUUUUAGUUUGUGGGAGCUUCAAUUACCACAUUCUCCCCUUUACAAGGCAUGAGGAUGCAACACAUUUGUGGCAGGGUAAUGUGAGCACUCCCUGCAUCCACAUCACAGGCUGAACCCAUCACCACUCACAAAGAGCACAUGCAGCUGGGGUAAAUUCAGCCUGGACAUUUCAGUCGUCUUUGGCACCGAGGAAUGGGAAUUUUUUAAUGUAUGUUAUUCUUCUGAGGAAUGUAAAAUAUUUUCACUUGGGACUUUUAAAUCCUCAAAUGUACACUCUGUGAACUGUUGACAUGAUGUUUUCAGGUCAAUAUUUCAACCAGAUUCCAAGAAUCCAAGAAUCAGCAGCUGCUAUUGUAAUUUUCCUAUGGGCUUCUAUUAAGUUGUUUCAAAAUUUGUGUUAAAAAUCAUGCUGGGAUAGAUCUGGAAAGGUGAAACAAGCAAGCAAAAAACUUUUGAAAAUUAUAUUUGCUCUGCAAAAAUGAUUACCCAUUUGCACAUUAAUAUGCACUAUUUUGUAUGUAUGUGUAAGAGAUUAUUCUUUUAUAUCAUUGACUCAAAGUUUGCUGAGGAACAAGUCCAGGCAAGUCCUGGGCAAAGGCAGAGAAAUCUUUUGUCUUGAGGACACUGAUGGACAGGUCCUGGCUAAGGAUUGUGAAAUCCUCUAAGGAGCACAGAUGGACAAGGCCAGGGGCAUCGAGAGAGAGAUAAGCUGCUGCUAAUGGCCGGGAAACGGUCUUUUUGUGUGGACUUAUCUCAAGGAAAAUGGCCAUCUCAGGAGGUAUGCACAGGACUCUUGCUCAAGCACCCAGGAAUGUCACGUAGGCAGCAGAAAAUGGAGGAUAAAAGAGGGUCCAACAACCACGGCUAGGUGGAGGCUGAUCUCUCACCACGACACGAGCUUUCUGCCUUCAGAUCCUUCUCUACGGACCGUUUGCUGACGGACUUCCCUGGGCCUGCUACCUGAGACCUGCUGCUUCCUCCCUGACCUGCACUCUCUCGUUGCCCAAGACCGGCCUCGCUGCUCCUGCCCUUCGGCGUCGGAACCUCGUGCUACGGGACUGCUGCCGGAUCCUGGUGUAUUAUUAACUAGCAUCAAAGAAAACAUGG